rnacentral:rRNA from 1 species
CAACCCAAAGAAAAGGGCGUUCCCCUUCGGGGGACAAAGUGACAGGUGGUGCACGGUUGUUGUUAACUUGUGUUGUGAAAAGGUGGGUUAAAUCCCGCAAAGAGGGCAACCCUUUAUUUUUGUUGCCCGCCAUUAAUUGGGCCAUUUUAGGUGGACGCCGGGGACAAACCGGGGGAAGGUGGGGGAGAAGUUAAAUUCUUAUUCCCCCUAUGACCCGGGGUAACAAACUGGUUCCAAUGGUGGGUAAAAAGGGCAGAAAACCCGGGAGCUAGAGCCAAUCCCAUAAAACCACUCUCAGUUCGGAUUGUAGGGGGCAACUCGCCUACAUGAAGCCGCA